GGCGGGGGGGGGGGGUCCCUCAGCCCGAUUGUGAGAGGGUGCAGGCCAAGCUGAGGGACCCCACUGGUGCACC
rnacentral:pre_miRNA from 1 species